UAUCGCUGUGAGAGCGGCUUGCGACGCUUUUUCAACAGUGCGGUGAAGCGGCGCUGCCGUAUUCCGGGUGAAAUACCGGCUGUUGUGCCGUUGCCUGGCUGAGGCGGGGAGGGAGCGGCAGGAGACGGGGCGAGAGAGGGGAGGGAGCAGCCCUCACGCCGCCGGCUUCCCCCUGGAUGGUCCGUAUCGCUGGUGCGGGGCCUCCUCCUCCCUGGUCCCGGCAGUGCGGCGGGCUGUGAGGCGGCCGGAGGCGGCGGGCGCUGAAGAUGGACUAUGACUUCAAGGUGAAGCUGACCGGGGAGCGGGAGCGGGUGGAGGACCUGUUCGAGUACGAGGGCUGCAAGGUGGGGAGAGGCACCUACGGGCACGUCUACAAAGCCAAGCGGAAAGACGGGAAAGAUGAUAAAGAUUAUGCUUUAAAACAAAUAGAAGGUACUGGAAUUUCUAUGUCUGCAUGCAGAGAAAUAGCACUGCUGCGAGAGCUCAAGCAUCCAAACGUCAUUUCUUUGCAAAAGGUGUUUCUGUCUCAUGCUGACAGGAAAGUGUGGCUUCUCUUUGACUAUGCUGAACAUGACCUCUGGCACAUAAUCAAGUUUCACAGAGCUUCUAAAGCAAACAAGAAACCAGUUCAGUUACCUCGGGGAAUGGUGAAGUCACUUUUAUAUCAGAUCUUAGAUGGUAUUCACUACCUGCAUGCUAACUGGGUGUUACACAGGGAUUUGAAACCUGCUAAUAUUUUAGUUAUGGGUGAAGGUCCUGAGCGAGGAAGAGUAAAAAUUGCUGAUAUGGGCUUUGCCAGAUUAUUUAAUUCACCUCUGAAGCCUUUAGCAGACUUGGAUCCAGUAGUUGUAACAUUCUGGUAUCGAGCUCCAGAAUUACUUCUUGGAGCAAGGCAUUAUACCAAAGCUAUUGAUAUUUGGGCAAUAGGGUGUAUAUUUGCAGAGCUGCUAACAUCAGAGCCAAUAUUCCACUGUCGACAAGAGGACAUCAAAACUAGUAAUCCUUAUCACCAUGACCAGCUGGACAGAAUAUUCAAUGUAAUGGGAUUUCCUGCAGAUAAAGAUUGGGAGGACAUAAAAAAGAUGCCUGAACAUUCAACUUUAAUGAAAGAUUUCAGAAGAAACACGUAUACCAACUGCAGCCUUAUCAAAUAUAUGGAAAAACAUAAAGUUAAACCAGAUAGUAAGGCAUUCCACUUGCUUCAGAAAUUGCUUACUAUGGACCCAAUAAAGAGAAUUACCUCAGAACAGGCUAUGCAGGAUCCUUAUUUCUUAGAAGAUCCACUUCCCACAUCUGAUGUUUUUGCAGGUUGUCAGAUCCCCUACCCAAAACGAGAAUUUUUAACAGAAGAAGAACCCGAUGAUAAAGGAGACAAAAAGAACCAGCAGCAGCAGCAGGGCAAUAACCAUACUAAUGGAACGGGUCAUCCAGGAAACCAAGACAACAGUCAUACACAGGGACCCCCAUUGAAAAAAGUGAGAGUUGUUCCUCCUACCACUACCUCAGGUGGACUAAUUAUGACCUCAGACUAUCAGUGGCAGCUGACCUGAGAGCAUGGGAAUCAGAGCAAACCCAAGCUACCUCUCCUGUGAGCAUGGAUUGAAGUCUACAAGCUGGGAAGUCAGGCGGCUCCGAAUCACCCUCCGUGUACGCAGGGAUUGCUUAGGGAGUCCACCUGUCACCCUCAUCUAGAUUGAGGAAAGCUGUGUUCCUUCCUCAUCUUUCUCACUCCACUGACAUCCCUCCCAGGCUUAUUGCAUGAGGGGGCAGUGUUUUUCAACAAGGGCCAUAUAGGAGGAUUUUUGCAUGGAGGAGUGGUAACUGCCCCUUCACUGUCUCAGCAGCUCUUGCAAGUGCUUUGGCUCCUCCUGACUGCUCACCUUUAUGCUAUGCCUUUGAAAGACAUAAUGUUUGACUUUGAGAAAUUCAGUCUAUUUUGCCCAGACUUUUAAGAAGGCAAGGAUGACAUUACACUUGUGAGUUUACAUAUAGUAAAUAAGGCAAAUGGAAGGAACCCACAUGAGCUUGACAGCACUGAGGCCAAAGCAAUUAAAUGCCACUUGCUGAUGGACACACAUCUCUCUGAAUCUCCCCCUGAGAUUCUUCAACCCAAGGAGGAAGGAGAAAAUUUUAAAAUACACCAUUGUUUUGACCAAACACCAGUCCCUUGGUUCUCUCAUACUGUUACAUCUGAGCCCUCUGAGGGAAAUAACCAUCCCUUAAGGAGGUUUACCAAGACAUCCCCUCAGCAGCUAAAUCCUUUGUUUAAUCUCCCUAAAGCAAACUGGCCUAUAAAUUCUCCCCCAUGCAACCUUUUCUGUCAUGCAUAAAAGCAAUUAGGUAAGGAUUUUUACAGGUAUAUAGACUUCCAUGUCCCUGGGUUUCAGACGUGCCAACUUGCACAUUUAAUGUGACAACACUGAAAUGAAUUGGAGCAGUCCUGUCCCCAGAGGAUGUAACAAGCUUUUGUCUUAUGAGAAGAGGGUUAGUGGUGUUUGGAGGUAGAGCGGGCUGGGUUGUUUUGGGAUUUUAACGUCUGUUUUCAAAAGUCACUUGUUGCUCUACAUGAUGUGAAUACACUGAGUGAUCUUGUAAUUGGCCGCAUAAAAUAAAUAAGAAACAUUUUUCAGUAGUCAGGUUGUGGAAGCCUGUCUAUUAACUAUAUUACAAAUAAAGCAUUAAUGGCUAAUUUUAAACUUCAAAGUUUUUUUUCAGUUUCCUGCAUACUUGAGACACAUUUUGCCAAAAAGUACGCCCAGAGAUUUUUGCACUUUUAAACAUAACCUUUAUUUAUUAUACAGAACUGGAUCACGUGAUGGCUGUUCUGUUAUUUUGACACUUCUCAUUAAGUGAGUAUUGUGUCUCUCAAGAGUGAAGUUAAAUGUCAUAACAGCUCAGCUAUCGUGUGAGCUAUGAUGUACAGCAAUGCUAAUUUAUUCCUGCUGGCUGGAAGUACUGUUCUAACUAUUUCUUUUCCCCUCCACACCACACACCUAGAGAGUGAUUCAGUCCCUUAAAUGCAUGUGUGGAUAGUAUCCACCUACCUUGCUUUGUAAAAGGCAUUCCUUUAUUUUUAUUUCCCCAGUAUGUAGCCAUCUCAACACAUUUAUUGAAUUUAACUUAACUUCUGAUCCAAAUGAAAACUUAUGAAAAGGAAGUGUUUAAAGAAAUAAAUCCACAUCAAUUACAGCUGUUUAAACUGUAACAAUUAAACAAUACAUCCUUUUUUGUGUGGUAUCCCACAUUUGGUCCUAAGCAGGUUAUAAGAGUACAAGAUUUUGGUUUCUUUGUGAGCUCUUUGGGGCAGGGACUAUCUCUUCUUGACUGUCUAGAAAACACCUACCUUAUAGCAAAUGCUCCAGUAAACCAAAAUUAAUCUCGUAUGCAAAGGUCUCCCAGAGAAACUUCCUUGCAUUAUCAUCGAUAUUAAAUACACAGCAAACCUCCCAAAUAUGUGCUCUUGGAGGGGGAAGACAACCGCAAUGGAGAGCAUCUAGGAUAUUUUUGGCUCGUUCCAAUCCCCAUGCUGCCUAUCCCAACCCUGGACCAAGCACAUCGCAGCCACAGAGCAGCAUGGGAUAUUCAACUACCUCCCAG